rnacentral:tRNA from 1 species
GUUCUUGUAGUUGAAUAACAACGAUGAUUUUUCAUGUCAUCAGUCAUGGUUGAAGUCCAUGUGAGAAUA